GACAGAGGGGUCAAGCGUUGUCCGGAGUUACUGGGCGUAAAGGGCGCGGAGGCGGUCUGCGGCGUCGGCGCUGAAAGCGCCCCGCUUAACGGGGCGAGGCGUGCCGAUACGCGCAGACUUGAGGCGAGCAGAGGGUGGUGGAAUUCCGGGUGGAGCGGUGAAAUGCGUAGAGAUCCGGAGGAACGCCAGUGGGGAAGCCGGCCACCUGGGCUCGUCCUGACGCUGCGGCGCGACCGCGUGGGGAGCAAACCGG
rnacentral:rRNA from 1 species